rfam:Paenibacillus sp. HGF7 contig00137, whole genome shotgun sequence.
UUGAACCUUCGGGGUAGGGUGAAAGUCCCAACCGGCGGUGAUGGGUACGCAAGUACCCUAAGCCCGCGACUCCCGGCUGUUACGGCCGGGACUGACUUGGUGCGACUCCAAGGCCGACGGUAAAGUCCGGAUGGGAGAAGGUGAAA